ACAGAUCGCUGAGAUUCCUUCGGGAUGAUCUUGAUGCUGACGAGCGGCGGACGGGUGAGUAACGCGUAGGAAUCUACCCAGUAGCGGGGGAUAGCUCGAGGAAACUCGAAUUAAUACCGCAUACGCCCUAAGGGGGAAAGCAGGGGAUCUUUGGACCUUGCACUAUUGGAUGAGCCUGCGUUGGAUUAGCUAGUUGGUGGGGUAAAGGCCUACCAAGGCGACGAUCCGUAGCUGGUCUGAGAGGACGAUC
rnacentral:rRNA from 1 species